rnacentral:lncRNA from 1 species
GGCCGCGGCAGCAGCGGCCUCUGUUCUCAGAGGCGCGCUUCGCUGAGCGGAGCGGGGGCCCAGCCCACGCGCCCUCAGAGGCGAGUGAGGACGUCGCGGUCCCCGCAAAGAGGAGGCUGUCCGUGCGGCCGACCUUCCCGCAGCUCGGAGAGAAGCCACACAGCAAUGCUGAUGAAGACUGCCAUUACUGAGCGAUUACUGAGUGCCUAGAGUUUAUCUUCUCUAUACUUUACAAGAACCAUGUGUGGAAGAAGCUGCUUUUUGGAGAUGAGGAAUCUGAGGCUUAGAGUGUGCGGCAGGUAAAAUAAUGGCCCCCAAAGACAGCCCCGUUCAAAUCCCUGGAACCAGCGAAUAUAUUGCCUUACACUGCAGAAGAGAUUCUGCAGGUGAGUUAAAGGUUAAGACCUUGAGAUGAGAUUAUUCAGAGUCACCUGGCUGGGCCCACGCUAAUCACUGAGUCCUUAAAAGUGGAACCUGUUCUGGCUGGGUUAGAGAGUGGCACACCUGUCGAAGCAGGGUCAGAGAGACGGCAGUGUGAGAAGGACUCAAUACUCUGUUGCUGAGCUGUGGGUACCAGCCACAGACCGGCAAGAGUACUCUAGGAGCUCAGUUCAGCCCUCAGCUAACAGCCGGCAAGGAAACAGAGCCCUCAGUCCUAUAGCCCCGUGGAACUGAAGUCUGCCAACAGCUGAAGGAGCGAGCGAGGGGAUUCCGUCCUGACCCUGCAAGAAGGACCCCAGCGCUGCCAGCACAUCAGUUUCAGCCCAGUGAGACGCACGCCAGACUUCUGACUUACCAAACUGUAAGAUAACAGAUUUGCGUUGUUUUACACCUCUAAAAUUGUGGUAAUUUUUCUUAUGGUGGCAGCAAAAGAAAACAAAUAUAGGCCACCAUGACCAGAAAGUUUUAGUGAAAUGGGAGCUCAAACUCAGGUGGUCUGACUCCAGCAUCUGGGUACAGCGAGGUCAUUACUUAUUUAGCCAGCACAUUUUAAAAAAUUUUUUUAUUACUCAAAUGAAUGUAUCCCAUCUGUAGUUGUAUAAUGAUCAUCACAAUCUGACUUCCCAGGAUGUCCAUCCCACGGCCCAGGCACAUCCCCCCACCCCCCAAACUGUCUCCUCCGGAGACCAUGAGUGUUUCAAUGUCUGUGAGUCAGCAUCUGUUCUGCAAAGAAGUCCCGUCUGUCCUUUUUUCAACCAGCACAUAUUGAUGAGCAUUUGGAUUCUCAAUGUAUAGUAUUUCAGACAAUGGGACCAUAGAUUUCUGUAUUUUCAAACACUUUAGUUAGAAUUUACACAGGAAAAUUCGCUACAACUGAAAUUACUGGGGGGGGAGGAUAAUCACAUUAAAUAUUUUUAUAAAUGCUGCCAAAUUGCCUUGCAAAUGUUCCCAGUGACACCCUUAGUCUAAAGCAGAAAUCAGCAGGAAAAGAACGAACACAAAGUAUGGCUGGAUCUGGCUCAUCGGUGACCAUUUCAGCAAGCCAAGAACUGAAAUGACCAAGAACUGAAACGACCUUUCCCCUUCGUUUCAACUGCACACCUUGCGGAAGUCUGCUCCAGAAGAAUCUCCUGGCUGUCUUCUCUCCGCGUGUCAUGGACAAGUGCGUUUUGUGCUUUACCUCUGGGUCUUGCUUUUUGCCCUUUGAGGCAAGAAUGACUGGCAAAGAUAAACAGCCUUUUCAGUAAGGAUCCCUUGUGCUACCCAUCCAUUCUAAAAUACUCUGCUACCUCAACCGAGGCUAGAUUUUCCCAUGAGUAUAAAAUACGAAGAGCAUCUCGGUAAUUUUGAAUGAUAGGCUUUGCCGCAGCACCUGGAAUCCAGCUUAUGGAAGAAAUCACAUGCGAAGGAAGUUAGCAGGGCAGCCAGCUCAGGUGCACUGGCUCUGGGACUGGCUGGCGUUUCCGGGCGUCACCAAAGCAGCCCCAUGAGAUCCAAUGGCCAAGGCCUCACCUGACAGCCAAACACCCUCUUCACAUAGGGGAUCCCAGGCUCGGAAGGACAAGGCGUCUUUCUUGCUGGAAGCAACUUUUGUUUUCUUUGGGCACCUUAACCCCACCUUUCGGUCUAGAAAGUGAGCUCCUUCACUCCCGGCUUACGCCAGUGCGCUUGUGGGCUUGUAGAUCUGAUGACAACCUUUCUUUUUGCCCAGGAUCUUUCUUUCGUUCUAGAACUUCUUUUUCUCUUACUGUAUUGCCUCAGACAUUUGGUUUUCUCUUUAUGCUGUGAUUUUCCCACGUUUAUAGUUAAACUUUUUUUCGGCUUUUGCUUUUUAGGGCUGCACCCACAGCAUAUGGAAGCUCCCAGGCUUGGGGUCAAAUUGGAGCUGUAGCUCUAUAGCCUACACCACAGCCACAGCAACGCCAGAUCCUUAACCCACUGAGGGAGGCCAGGAAUUGGUCCUGCAUCCUCAUGGGUACUGGUCAGGUGCUUAACUCGCUGAGCCACAACGGGAACUCCGAAAGCUUUUGACUCAAUUGUUCUGCUUGGUUUUUCUCUUUUGCCUAACUGCUAGAUCCUGGGACAUAGUUUUCAUUUUUGUUUUGUCUUUCGGGUUUGGGUUUUGUUGCUGUUGAUGUUAGAGUAUAGUUGGUUUACGGAGUUUUGCCAAUAUCUGCUAUACAGCAUGUGCUAUACCUCGAGUCAUACUAUGUAUACAUUCCUUUUCUCACGCUGUCUUCCAUCCUGUUCUAUCCCAAGAGAGUGGAUAAAGUUCUCUGUGCUGUAUGGUAGGACCUCACUGCUGGUCCAUAUUCUAACGCAGUAGUUAUAGCAUCCACGAUCCCAGGGCAGUGCCGAGGUCCUCGGGGCCAUCCCGUGAGGUUGGUGACUCCAUUAUCCCCAUUCCGCAGAUGAGAAAGUCGAGGCUUUAAGAAGUGAGACAACCUGAUCAAGGCUACAUAGCAGUAAAGGAUAGAGCUGAGACUGGAACAAAGCUUGUUUGACCAGUCCGUACUCUUAACCUCAACACCACGCUGUUUCAAAAUCCCUCGUAAGCCGUAUGCUUCCAAGAACAUUUUGAACAGAAAACAUUCAGACUCAGAGCCACUUAGCUGUGAUGUGGCAGAAGGAACCCUGGGUCGGAGUCAAAGGAGGGCCUCUUAACCGUGUCCUUGACUGCUGAGCGAGUCCUCUGCAAGCUGGCUCCCCAGCCCGCUCGGGCUCUUCCCUCCCAUCUGUGACAGUGCCUGUCUGCUGGCAUUCCGGACGAAUUUUUGAUUUCCUCUUCCUUAAUUUUUCCUAAACUAAGAGAAAUGCCCUCUGCCACGCCCACAUCAUGUGUGGCAGUUAAAGCUGGUAUCAAAUGAGUCAGUUGGCACAGGGCUACUUGUCGUGAAAGAAGCAGCAGCAGUGAUUAAAUGCACCCCUCCUCCCCCUGGCAGAAAGCAAGUGGAGCAUAAUGACUCAAGGGCAAAGCGAGGAAAGCCCUUGGCAGCUGCGCCGUGAUAUACUCUUCUGUCUCGAAUUUUCCCUGUGUAUGUUCACCUCCCCUCACCAUGCUGCUCGUGGUUCGUCCUCAUCUCCAGUGUAUUUAUGCCAUUGUCCCGCAAUAACGGCCCCCAGCUGUCUUUGUCCAGUCGGAGGGGAGACCCAGGCCUCGAGAAGACUUGCUGACGGUCUCAAGCAGGUAUCUCAUUCGGUCACAUAGCUUUUCACCAUCUCAUGUGUCUUUGACUGAACGGUGUUCACCCCAAACUCAUAUAUUGAAGUUGUACCACUGAUCCCUUAGCAUGUUACUGUCUUCGGAGACAGGACUUUGAAAGAGGAAACUAAGGAAAACGGGGUGCCAUGCAAGGGCCCUGAGGCCACGUGACCGGGGCCCUUCCAAGAGGAGGCGAUCCGGACAGAAACACGAAGGGACGGAGGGAAGGCGGCCCUCAGCAGCCGAGGCGAGAGGCAUCAGAGGAAAACAAACCUGUUACCACGCUGAUCUUGGUCCCAGAUCCCACUGGAGAAAAUGAACCUCUGCUGCUUAGGAGAGCUGUGAGGAAGUACCCGUCUGUUGAUCAAGCCACCCAGCGUUUGGUAUUUCAUCAUGGCAGCCUGAACAAAUUAAUGCAUCCUUUCUUUCUCUUUUUCCUUUCUAGGGCCGCCCCCGCGGCGUAUGGAGGUUCCCGGGCUAGAGGUCGAAUUGGAGCUACAGCUGCCGGCCCGCACCACAGCCACAGCCACUCGGGAUCCGAGCUGCGUCUGCGACCUACACCAGAGCUCACGGCAACUCCGGAUCCUUAACCCACUGAGCGAGGCCAGGGAUCAGGCCCACGUCCUCGUGGGGCUUAGUUGGGUUCAUUCCCGCUGAGCCACAGGGGGAAAUCCAGUCCUCAUGUGCUAAAUCCAGGGUUGGUUUUAGUCUUUUUUCUGUUACUUCCCAGAAGAGCUUUAGCUUCAUUUUUAAUUUUCUUUCCUCAUUUGCUUGAGCGAGAUAUUUUUUGCCCCAGUAGGUCAUACUCAGGUAUAUAAGCCUUCAUCCACGCACUGGAGCACAGAGACUUCAGAGCUGUUGCAGGGUUUGAGGAGCACCCAGGGUUAGUGACUCUUAUCUGGUGCUCUGAACACAGCUUACGUUUCUGCACCUGUGCAAAAUCCUUGUCUCGUCACUGCUUCACCUACGUGUGUCCGUUCUCAGGUAUAUUAGCUCCUUUUACAGUUAAUAAAAUAAGCCGCUAACCACACACAGCUGAUUUCUCCCCUUUACCAAUACCCCAUGGAUUCCUCUGCUUUUUCUUACCGUCUGUCCUGAUAAAAUGGCAGCAGCAGCACCAUUCACCCAGCUUCGUGUUCUCCAGCUAGGAAAUGAGGGCGUCAUCCUGUUUGGUUUCUCUUCUUUGGCCGCCCACGGCACGUGGAGUUCCCGGGCCAGGGAUCAGGCCCCAGCUGCAGUUGUGACCAACACUGCAGCUGUGGCAGUGCAGGAUCCUUGACCCGCUGUGUCGGGCUGGGGAUUGAACCUGCGCCCCAGUGCUGCAGAGACACCGCUGACCCCAUUGUGCCACAGCGGGAACUCCAGGGAGUCACUCUUGAUCUUUCUUUUCCUUGCUCAUUUAUCCAACUCAUUACCCACUUCUGUUCAUUCUUCCUUUAACACAUAUAACAGGGAAAGAUUUGUAAUAUUAAACUGUAGUAUUAACUCUGAAUUGCAAAUAUCAAUAUGGACUAAUGUAUUAAAAAGUAUGUGUGUGUCAGGAGUUCCCUGGCGGCAUAGCAGUUAAGGAUCCAGCAUUGCCACUGCUGUGGCUUGGAUUUGACCCCUGGCCUGAAAACUUCUGCACGUUGAGGGCACAGCCAAAGAAAGUGUGUGUGUGUGUGUGUGUCUGUCUGUCUGUCUAUCUGUCUGUCUGUCUACCUGUCUGUCUGUCUGUCUGUCUGACUAUCUGUCUGUCUGUCUGCCCAGCACUGCCACUAAUAGAACUUAGAAGCAGUGGCGUGUCCUUAGCAACAAGCCCGUGUGUCUGUCUGUCUGUCUGUCUGUCUGCCCAGCCCUGCCACUAAUAGAACUUAAAAGCAGUGGCGUGUCCUUAGCAACAAGCCCAUCCGGCAUCCAGAUUUUGAUUUCUACGCAUCAUUACCACCAAAAGAGUAACAGUCUUUGGAGAAAUAGCUGAUUCUAGUUGUUGAGCAGUGAAACUGCAGGUGAGCUGGGGCCCUCCCGUGGCGGACACCAAAGACGUGCUCAGUGCUUUACGGGGCAUGUUCAACGGACCCAAGAGCUCCUUUAAAGUGGUCCCACUAGAGCAGGUUUUGGAUACUUUGAAGUGUAAUUGAUUAUAAAACACCGAAUACAUAAAAUCUAUUAGUCUAUAAUAAUACUCAAAAAGUGAAGGAAAGGAGGAAAAAAAUUGACUAUUAGAGAUGACUACUCAAUAAAUCCUUACUCUAAAAUCGGUAGUAAAAGGGAAAGAACUGAACAUUUAUCUACUUUUUUAUGAGGGAUUGUCUGUCCUCCUCCUUAAUGAGGGAAACUCUUCCUUAGAAAAGGAUGACCAGGAGUUCCCGCUGAGGUGCAACGGGAUUGGUGGAGUCGCUGAGGCGCUGGGACGCAGGUUCCGUCCUCCACCCAGCGCAGAGAGUUAAGGAUCUGGCAUUGCCUCAUUCGAGGCUUAGAUUGCAACUGCAGCUCGGAUCUGGCCCCUGGCCCGGGAACUCCAUAUGCUGUGCACCCCCGCCCCCAAAAAAAGACCAAAAAAGGAACGGUGUGAGAUGAACUAUUUUGCAACUGCCAGUGAAAUAACUGCUUAAGGCAGAGACCAUCAGAGGCGAAAGGUCACUGCAGAACAGGAUGGUCUUGCAGUGACAAGGCGUCACCACACACGGUACUUGUUCGCUGUGAUGGGCAGAAGGGAGGGACGGGGACAUCAGCCUGAAGGCGCUGACAACGCGGAAUAAUCUUGUUAUUGUUGCUAUUAAGGAUGAGGAUUAUUUCGGGGACAAUGAGGUGGUUGACCGUCCUCCAGCUUCCUGGGGUGGCCAUGGCUCCCUGCUGGACAGCACGGGGAAGGGCGUGGGUCUGGGUCACUCUGCUGUACAAGAGAAUGUGGCCAACAUUCAACCGCACUUUAAUUUUAAAAAAAGCAACAGCUUCCCAGACGCCUCCCUGGAGAUUCUAAUGUUCACGCGGAAUGGGGACGGGCUACAGGUAUUUAUAUUUUGAAGGAGCUCAUUUGUGUCCUCAGGCCACUGGGACACACCGGCCUUAUCCUUCUAAGCUGGGAUUUGGGGUCAGACGGAUUAGGAUUCGGGGCUGGGCUCUGGAGGUGCGUAGCUGUGUGAAACCUUAGGCGACGCCCCUGUCCACAGCGUGAUUCGUAUCCAGAAACAGGGAUGACAGCUGCUGGCACAGGGCUGUUCUGGGGAAUUGAGUGAUUCCUGGAGAACUACUACCGUGCCUGGAAUAGUCUAGGUUCUCAGCAAAUAUUGAAAACCAUGAUUCGAUUUCCCCGUCAUUCGCUUGGUUGUGUUACUCUGAUUCAAGGUCUCGGUGCUGGUGUCUUUGGUUUUUCGGCAACACGGGUGAGUCAGGGCAGGUGACACGUGAGCUCUAACCCCAGCCGAAGACUCUCCUCUGCCAACUUUUCGCUGCCUCAACAAGGUAUCUCUUUCAUUUAUUCUUUUUGGUUCCACCUGUCACCUCCCUUAAAUUAUAAAAAGGCCUUCCAUGAAUCUCUUUGUUCUACAGCAGAAGUUAUCACAACAUUGUAUAUCAGCUAUACUUCAAUAAAACUUUUUUAAAAAUUAAAAAAA